rnacentral:rRNA from 1 species
GAUGAACGCUAGCGGCAGGCCUAAUACAUGCAAGUCGAGCGGCAAGUUGAGAAGCAAUUCGAGACCUAGAGCGGCGUACGGGUGCGUAACGCGUAUGCAACCUACCUCAUACAGGGGGAUAGCCCGGAGAAAUCUGGAUUAAUACCCCAUAGUACAUAUAGAGGGCAUCUGAAAUAUGUUAAAGAUUCAUCGGUAUGAGAUGGGCAUGCGUCUGAUUAGCUAGUUGGCGGUGUAACGGACCACCAAGGCGACGAUCAGUAGGGGUUCUGAGAGGAAGGUCCCCCACACGGGCACUGAGAAACGGGCCAGACUCCUACGGGAGGCAGCAGUAGGGAAUAUUGGGAAAUGGUCGGAAGCCUGACCCAGCCAUGCCGCGUGCAGGAAGAAGGCCCUCUGGGUUGUAAACUGCUUUUAUCUGGGAAGAAAAGGCCCGUGCGCGGGACAUUGCCGGUACCAGAUGAAUAAGCACCGGCUAACUCCGUGCCAGCCGCCGCCGUAACAC